rnacentral:lncRNA from 1 species
GUCCCUAUGGGUCUCUAUAGGGUCUCUAUGGGUCUCCAUGGGUCCCAGUGGCUUUUUAAGGGAUCUAUGGGUCUCUAUGGGUCCCUCUGGCUCCCUAUGGUUCUCUAUGGGUCCCUAUGGGUCCCUGUGGGUCCCUAUGGGUCUCUAUGGGUCUCUAUGGAGUCCCUAUGGGUCUCUGUGGGUCCCUAUGGGUCUCUAUGGGUCCCUAUGAGUCCCUAUGUGUUCCUGUGGGUCCCUAUGGGUCCCCAUGCAUCUCUAUGAUCUCCGUGCAUCUCUAUGGUCUCCCCGCGUCUCUAUGGUCGUGGCGGCGCCCCUCAGGCCACGUGGUUCGCGCUGCUCCCCCUGCUGGCCGUUUCCGUUCCCCACGCGCUGCUCCCGGCUCUGCUGGCCGCUCUUUGGGCUGCGGCCACGUUGGGGGCGGCGGUGCUGAGAGCCGCACCGAGGCUGCCGCACGGAGACUGCGUGGAGGCGCUGCGUUCCGGCAGCGGAGCGGUGGUGGCCACCGUGGUGGCUUUGGUGGCCAUCGUGUCGUCCCGCAGCGUCUUGGCCGCCAUCACCUUCAGCCUAGCUUUGGGUCUGGCUCUGCUUUACGCCUACGACGCCUUCGGAACCAUUCGGACCCGACUGGGGCAGCCCCACGACCCACAAGUGAACGGGACCUGAGCGACAUCCGGACCCCCGACUCUGCCCCAUAGAAUCCCUGCCUUCUGCCCCAUAGAUUUCUGCCCCAUAGAUUCUGCCCCAUAAAUUCUGCCCCAUAGAUCUGUGCGCCCCAUAGAUUUCUGCCCCAUAGAUUCUGCCCCAUAGAUCCGUGCUGCCCCAUAGAUCUGCCCUAUAGCUCUGCUUGCCCCAUAGAUCCGUGCCCCAUAGCUCUAUUAGCCCGAUAGCUACAGCUGGACCCGCAGCUCUGCCCCAUAGAUCCGUGCUGCCCCAUAGAU